rnacentral:rRNA from 1 species
UACGUAGGGUGCGAGCGUUAAUCGGAAUUACUGGGCGUAAAGCGUGCGCAGGCGGUUCGUUAAGUUCGAUGUGAAAGCCCCGGGCUCAACCUGGGAAUGGCAUUGAAAACUGGCGGGCUUGAGUCUGGCAGAGGGGGGGUGGAAUUCCGCGUGUAGCAGUGAAAUGCGUAGAGAUGCGGAGGAACACCGAUGGCGAAGGCAGCCCCCUGGGCCAAGACUGACGCUCAGGCACGAAAGCGUGGGGAGCAAACAGG